UGUGACCUGGCAGAGGCCCCAGGUUUUAUAGGCUGGGGCCACCCUGGCCUGGGCUAGUUUCCCAACUCCCCAGGGCUCACCCACUUCCUACGCGCCUGGGGCUCACAGCAGGAGUUAUGAAAUUAGGUCAAAGGAUGUGUCCUUCCAGCCAGGUCCCAACUGGAAAGCAAGCUGCCCACCUGACGGGGCUCCCUUCCCUUACAAGGACACCCUGUUCCCAGAGAACUCCCAGGGUCCCCUCUGCUGGAAGGGCUUGUGGGCAGCUCCAGACCGCUCCACGGUUUGUGCAGGGAGAGGAGCAGGCCGCUCUCAUGGCCAGAGCUACUCGACACGCUGGGAUGGAGCCAGACUCCAGCAGGAGCCAACUCAGGGCUCAGCGUGUCCCCAGGCUUCCUGUGUUGGGAUGCAUCAGAAGGGACACCUGAGUCCACCGUGCAGUUCAGAGGACGUGAUUGAAUGAAGCAGUUCAUGAGGAGGAGAAGCAACGCAUCCCACGACCGUGGGGGACAGAUGGGAAGCAGAUCCGCAGGUGCUAUGGGGACUGUCUGGGAUGUGGCAAAGCAGCCACCCUCCGAGGAGGCUUGUGGCCACCUCCUGAGGAGACAGCCCAUCCCGGGAGGCUGGGAGAGGUGGACAGAGCUGCCCUCCUCAGAAGACACGACUGACCCGUAGGCGGUUCCAGGGCUUCCAGGAAUCAGCUGUCAGGAUGAGCGGUUCACAAAACCCAGAGGUGCUUCUGAAACAAGUCACAAGGAAUCAAAAAGGAGCAGUUGUAAACCUGCAGCACAGCCCUGAAGGCAAAGAGCUGAGGCUGGAACUAGGGCGCCCUCCAUCCUCUGUGCAGGAAGCUUUCAAACAGGGACCAGGAGACCUAAGACCGGACACAGGAAGUCCAGCCCACAAUCACGGGCAGUCCACGUGGCCCGGUGCUGAUGACCUGAAGAUUCACUGCAUUAUCGGUUAAAUCCCCACUUUCUGGUGAUGCUGGACAAGAAGAAUUUAGCACAUACGCGAAGGCAAGAUGGCCUUGCUCAGGAGCAAGGGGCAGACGGCUCCACUCAGUGCAGAGCUCGCUACAGAUCUGCAGGGAUGGGACCACGGCCCUGGCACAGGCACACGCAGGCCCACGGAGCCCAGCAAGGGGCCCAGAAACAAGUCCAGGCGUGUUCUGACCUUUGGCUUAACAACAGCAGUGGCUGUGCCGAGAAAUGGGGAAAGAAUUAACUUUAACACAUUCCAGGAACGAAGGGACCUUCCUAUGAGAAAACGAGAAGUCAAGAAGUCAACUUGACUUUCAUCAUACAAAAAAACAAAACAAGAGGAAAAAAAAAUCGAUGUUGGGGGAAUUACAAACCCCAAUGUGGAGGUAGAAACAGGAGCUUUAGAUCAAAUUAUAAGCUAUCAAAUAACUUCACAGGUAUUUUAUUCAGGACAGAAAAUCACUAACCACAAAGGGAAAGUUUAAAAACUGACACAAAGAUUAAGGACGUUUGUUUUUCAAAACACACCACCAAGAGAGUGGAAAGACAAGCCACAGGGGACAGAGAUAUUUCAACACAGGCGUGUGACAAAUGACUUGUAUCUGGAAUAAAGAUCCCUGUAAAUCAGCCCUCUGCCGAGCAGAGAUGGGCAAACAGGCCCCGGUGGACUCCAGCAGGCAGGAGGUGGCAGGGGGCGGAAAAAAGGGCUCCUGCCCAACUUCACAUGUGACCAAAGUCACUGAAGUCACGGGAGCACACCACCCACACCACCUGCUCCACCAAGGGCAGGUGUGUCCAGGACAGCGCCGUGCACGGUUCUGGUGGGGAUCAGAGGAAACUGGGGCUCCUGUGCUGGGCCGAGGACGCACGCUGGCCCAGGCAUGUUGGAAGACCAUCGGCGUCCCUUCCUACGUGGUCUCCUGUGACUCUGCUCAGCAGAACAGUGCCAGCCACAGAGCAGACACAGCGAGAAGGCCCAGCCCGUGAUGGAGAUGACCAGGAUGUCCAUCGGCUGCAGAACGGGCCCAGCCCGAGGCCAGUCCAUUCCCAGGACUCCCCUUCACCAGUAAAAUCCACCAAUCCUAGCUUCCUGCAGAAGCUCCGUGGGAAUUCACAAACGGAGGUUGAAGGAGACAAGACUGAGUGAAGAAUGCCGACUAUAUAACUGUGUCUGUGUGACGUUCAGAGGGUGCAGGCCUGGAAGGGCUGCGGGGCUCGCCCGGCUGCACCCUUAGUUCCUGGUGUCCUCGGUGACCGGACGUCGCGUUUCACUUAAAACAACAACAACAAAACACAGACAAGAAACUAACAAUAAAAGGGAGUGUCAGUAAGAUGGAUGUCCCCCGGCCCUGCGACCGCCUACAGUGGGCGUGGACAGCCUGGGAGGGUAGGCCUUGCCGUCCUGCCGCUUUUCUUGCUGUCAUAAGCCAGCCAGGUCACCAACAGACCAGAUACGUCUCUGUCCCUCCACUGCGUCAGAACUUACUGAAUGAGUUAAUCCUCAGGUGACACCACUCUCAUCAGUGGCAGUGCAGUGGAUACGUGUGGGUCCCUGGUGUCAGGCUGGGCAGUCACAGGGUCACUCAGUCUUGAUUUCUACAUCUGUCAGGCUCAAGUCACACAACACACUCUACACAACUAUAUGUACAGGCUACCGAGAGGCUGAACCGUGCGGCGGCCUCAGGCUUCAGGAGGCAGAUAGCAGGUACAGAUAGGGUCACCACAGGUGGUCGGAUGAGAUUAGAAACCACCGAGGACCUGUGCAGGGCGCAGGGCCAUGGGAGCACAGGAACCUAUUCUAGGCCAAGGUCCAGAGAGUGCCAGUCUCAGGUCAGCUUGGAGUGUCAGCCUGAGGUGUCAGCUUGGAGUGGGACUUGCAUGGUCGUCACUGGCAGGAGAAACUGCUUUGCUGAAGCCCCUGACAGAGAACUGAAGGUUCAUUGCUGUGGUGACAUUCCUGGGUGAGGCUGUGAUGAGUGACCAGGUGACAGGGUCAGCAUGCUGCUGUGUCCAGGCUCAGGUGCCCCUCCUUCUGUGGGUCUCGAGUGAGGGGCUGCAUCCUGAGGUGGUUCCACUAGCUCCUGGGCCUGAUUUUUCCAAUAUGAGUUUGAUACACCCACACAUUCAUGUGCUUCUGACUAAUCUGUAAGUCACAGGUGGUCACUUUUACGAGCAUGAUCAAUUUAUUUAUCAGCAUGUGCCUUAUGGUGGUGCCAGGCAGAUGGUGGCUGUUGAUUUGCACAAACAAGGUACAGAGUUCUUGCUCUGAUUAGAGCAGCUCAGGGCAAACUGGGGCUUUAUGAAAUGGGGUGACUCAGGGUUAGGCUGAAAUCAGCUGUUCUGUCCACCGUGGAGUCACAAAGGGAAGGGCACAGCCUGAGAGCUGCUGUUCUAAACACCAUGGAGUCACCCAGGGCAGGCUCAGCCUGAAGACAGCUGUUGUACACACCAUAGAGUCACUCAGGGCAGGCGCAGCCUGAGGAUUGCUGUUCUGUACACCAUGGAGUCACCCAGGGCAGGCUCAGCCUGAAGACAGCUGUUGUACACACCAUAGAGUCACUAGGGCAGGCACAGCCUGAGGACUGCUGUUCUACACACCAUGGAGUCACUAGAGCAGGCACAGCCUGAGGACUGCUGUUCUGUACACCAUGGAGUCACUAGAGCAGGCACAGCCUGAGGACUGCUGUUCUACACACCAUGGAGUCACUCAGGGCAAGCGCAUUCUGAGAGCUGCUGUUUUGCACACCAUGGAGUCACUAGGGCAGGCUCAGCCUGAGGACUGCUGUUUUGCACACCAUGGAGUCACUAGGGCAGGCGCAGCCUGAGAACUGCUGUUCUACACACCAUGGAGUCACCAGGGCAGGCUGAUCUGUACACCAUGGAGCCAUGCAGAGUUGGAAACAGCCUAGAAACUGCUGUUGGAUGCCUCAUGGAGUCACUCAGAGAACACAGCCAUUCUCCACACGUUCUCUGACUUCUAGGAGGCUGACCACUGACCACUGCUUUCUCUGGCUCCAUGUGCUAGAUCUGCAGCCUGAGAUGAACCUCAGAAGUGUGGUGGACAGAGGAAGUGGUCCUUCAUCUUGGGCUGUGCCCACACGCCCAGGCCACCCACAGUUGGUGGGACUGAAACUCCAUGCUGUAAGGGGGACUCUCUGUUAUUCAGUGAGGUCGUGCUGUGGUCACAUGAAAUAGUGGAGCCUGGUGUCCCCGGCCACAGGAAAAGUGCUCUGUCUGGAAGACAGGGGGUGGCAGGUGGCCGUGUGGAUCCUGGGAGGCCUCUGGCUGCACCCUCCUCCUGUGCUCACAAUCAGGCCACCAGUGGGGCAGACCCUCUCCUGGACCUGGUCAUCUUUGGGCCUGGGCUGCUCCUCCAGGCCUCUGGGACGCUACACCUUGAGAAUGUGCCCUGUGGGACCCCCUCCUCUCUGGGGCCUGUGUGCAUGCCCUGGCCUGGGCUGUCUGGAGGGCUGUGGGAAGGGGAGGCUCACGUGGCUGGACCUGGCUGGGGUUCUGCACACUGGUCCCCUAGGACGCCUUUGAUGACUGUGUGACAUUCUUACCUGGAACCCUUCUGCUGCCAAGUCCAGCCCAAGAGAGCAGAGUCCACCGAGUUUCCUCUCCCCCAAUUUGUAGAUGUUUUCUCUUUGGGGGAGAAGAAAUCAGGACUUACUCUUGAUGAUGCUGGGUGUCUCCACACCAUGGGGCCCUUCUCCCCAACCGCGGGUCACCCCCCAUCCUGCUUGGGGUUUCACUGGCCCUCCUCCAACCUGGGCUCACAGGUGGCCUACUACCUCCUUCUCUCUCCCCAGAGGCCUGUGCUGCGCUGGUUCUGGGUGGGGGGUCCCACCAUCCCGAGCCUCUGGGGAACCUCAUGUCACAUGCUUGCAGGAGCCUGGCCCCAUUCCCACCCAAGAUUAUUCCUGGACCAGUCCUGGGGAGAGAGGCCUGAGGAUCCCUCCUCCUGGCCACGUCCACUUUGUCCAGAGAGGCAACAUGGAACAGCGGGUGCUCAGGGGGGCGGGGGACAAGAGAUGGCACUGCCACUAGGGAAGGCAGCCUGGCAGCUGUGGGGACAGCUAGCAUUCCACGUCCCAGGGGAGGCCACGGGAAGUGAGGCCCCUGGGCACACACCCACUCUCGUCAUGGAUAAUUCUCCAGACCCAAAGCAGGAGCAGCCUGCAGGCCCAUCCCUGGUGAAUGAGCAGGACACUAGCAGGUGGGCUAUCACCUGGCAGGGGGACCUUCAACCCAUGAGAUGAGCCAAGCCACAGGUGGUGGGGCCGUUCCCACCAAUGUCCACAACAGGCAGAUUCACAGAGAAAGCAGACCAGGCCUGGCCAGGGCAAGGGGGAGGGGAAAGGGUCCAGCAAUGACAGGCCAAGGGUCUGGAUGGGUUUCGAGGUCAGGACUGUGUUCUAGGCCUGGAAUGUUCUGGUGGCUUCACAACUCAGAGAGUCCACCAAACACCACUAACUUGUCCACCAAACACCGCUAACUUGUCCACUUCCAGAGGGUGAAUUUUAUGGUCUGCAAGUUACAUCUCAAUAAAGCUGUUAAAGAAAAAGGAUUCCAGGGGGAUUAUGAGGGGUGGGCUUCCCUGACUCCUGGGAUCCAGCCCAGGGCCCCUGGACACUGGGCAGGGGGCUUGAAGGAAGCAUCAUGGGGCCCGAGAGAGUCCACUCCUGCCGGAGGCCUGGCCUCUGCCUCCCACCCUCCUUCCCUUCCUGCCUCCCCUCAUGUCUCCUGGGUCUUGAACCUCCUCCUUGCCAGGACCCCACAGCGGGUAGUGGCGAUGACAUUAAAAAGCCCCUUCCCAGCUACAAAAUACUCCAAAGUGCUUAGCGGCCCUUGGGAGCAGCAGAGGGUGAGAGCCAGGACCUCAGGCGCAUUAGCCACAGGAAGGAAAAGUCCCUCUUGAAGCUUCCCCGGGGUCAGCCAGGGCCACAGGACAGAAACCCCCAGGGCUCUGGCAGGAAGCUUCCUCCUGCCGAGGCCCCUUUUAACUUCCCAGAGAUAAUGCAGUGCAGAGUACCUGCCAGGCACCUGAAGACAGAUGACCAGUGUUUGCCGGGAAAUAGUUUGUGUCAGAGCAAAUUGGAAUUUAUAUCUCAGGAGGCAGGUAAUCCCCUUUAGAGUGCUCCAGCGUCCCCAGGACGAGCGGGCUUGCGCAGGGCUGGCGGCUCGCUGAAGACAGACAAAGCCGUGCGCCUCCGAAGACCCCUGCUCGCCCAGUCCUACUCUGGAUAUCUUAAUUGAGUCUGCAAACCCUAGGACACCACGGAGAAAACAAGCCUCACGAUGUCCUCUUCCAGCUCCGCACAGGAUCAAGGUCGUGUUCACCUUCGGGAAACUCAAGAAACAAAGCAGGGAAGGAGUUGUCUUCCUGGGGGUUAGUUUUGUGUUAUGCUUGUUCUUGUUUAGUUUUGUGUAUAUUUUUAAAGCUUGUGAACAGAGGAGAAAAAUCCAGGGGCAUGUUCCCACUAAGUUAAACUAGUUGUUCUUAAAAUCCCAAAUCCUUCUACAGCUUUUUAUUCCCAAGGACCAGUACACAAUCUGCUUUGCUCUUGAUUUAAACAUGCUGACAAGCGGCUGCCGGCUCGCCUGCGCGGCGCGAGAGUGGAUUGGGGCUGUCAUAUAUAAUGCAUGAGACGGGGAGCCGCGGAUGCGGGGAGCGGGGACGGGAUCUGCACAGGACUCGAGGUGAUCUGCGUGCAGCUCUGUGCCCAGAGUCACUGUGCAAACAUAUUUACCCUGCAUAAAAGAAAGGGAUGAGUCUGCGCAGGACGAUUGUCCACCGGAGUGGAUUUAAUUUCUAAACCUGCAUUAGAGCAGGAUUAACCUUGCUGAAGGGUACCGUGACGUGGGCAGAAUGUAUAAAGCUAACCCCGGGUCCGCACAGCCAGAGGAGGAGCACUGGAUGGAAUUAAACAUUUAUUGCACAUAAA